CGGGGCGUAGUGUAACGGUAGCAUUCAUGCUUUGGGAGCAUGCGGUCCGAGUUCAAAUCUCGGCGCCCCGA
rnacentral:tRNA from 1 species